AACGAACGCUGGCGGCAGGCCUAACACAUGCAAGUCGAACGCCAGUAAUGGGAGUGGCGCACGGGUGCGUAACGCGUGGGAAUAUGCCCUUCACUACGGAACAACGUUUGGAAACGAACGCUAAUACCGUAUAAUGACUCCGGUCCAAAGAUUUAUCGGUGAAGGAUUAGCCCGCGUUUGAUUAGCUAGUUGGUGAGGUAAUGGCUCACCAAGGCAACGAUCUAUAGGGGGUCUGAGAGGAUGAUCCCCCACACUGGAACUGAGACACGGUCAGACUCCUACGGGAGGCGGCAGUGAGGAAUAUUGGACAAUGGGCGCAAGCCUGAUCCAGCCAUGCCGCGUGAGUGAUGAAGGCCUUCGGGUUGUAAAGCUCUUUUAACGGUGAAGAUAAUGACGGUAGCCGUAGAAAAAGCCCCGGCUAAAUUCGUGCCAGCCGCCGCGGUAA
rnacentral:rRNA from 1 species